rnacentral:rRNA from 1 species
UAGUCUACGCCGUAAACGAUGGAUACUAGUUGUUUGAUCUUCGGAUUGAGUGACUAAGCGAAAGUGAUAAGUAUCCCACCUGGGGAGUACGUUCGCAAGAAUGAAACUCAAAGGAAUUGACGGGGGCCCGCACAAGCGGUGGAGCAUGUGGUUUAAUUCGAUGAUACGCGAGGAACCUUACCAGGGCUUAAAUGUAGAUUGCAUAAGCUAGAGAUAGCUUUUUCUUCGGACCAUCUACAAGGUGCUGCAUGGUUGUCGUCAACUCGUGCCGUGAGGUGUCAGGUUAAGUCCUAUAACGAGCGCAACCCCUACCGUUAGUUGCUAGCAGGUCAUGCUGAGGACUCUAACGGGACUGCCGGUGCAAACCGUGAGGAAGGUGGGGACGACGUCAAAUCAUCACGGCCCUUACGUCCUGGGCCACACACGUGCUACAAUGGCCGGUACAGAGGGAAGCCACCACGCAAGUGGGCGCGGAUCUAUAAAACCGGUUACAGUUCGGAUCGGAGUCUGCAG